rnacentral:lncRNA from 1 species
GCUAGUAAUUAUUGGUACACACUUUUUAAAUACAUUACAAGCGCGUGUAAUUGGUAUGAAAUACACUGUAAUGAUGUCAAUGUCAUGGCUUAGUGCACCACCCGCUCCAGAACCCCUCUUCCCUAUACUACUUAUGAGAUACCUGCGACAGAGGAGAAAUUCUAAUCAGUAUAACAUCGUUAUUGGGCAAUUUAUUGGACAUGUUGGCAUGUUCUUAAUGUUUUAAUCUAAGCUUCAAUAAACAGUUCGGGCUAAUCACAUGCAGUUCCUUAAUUUCUCCAUUUUUUUUACAAUCAACGUUACCCGCAUUAAUUGACAUGCCUUACCAUGUGAUACCAAAUUGUAUUACAGUUAUAUUAUAUUAUUGAUCUCCUCAAAACAUGUCGUACACCACUGUCUUUAGAGGGGAAAUUUCCAAAACUCCAAAUCCCUUUGAGAAACGUCGAAACUUGGAAACUCAGAUACUUGGAAUGUUGCAAACUCGGAAUCUCGGAAAGUCAGAAGUCCCUUCUCGGCCAUCGUACUUUAAGAGCUUUGUGAUUUCACAUAUCAUAAGAACUUUGUAUGCAUAAUGCUGCAUUCACCAAUUUUUGUACGCACCAAUUUUUCAGUGAUCAAUCCUUGCAGUGAUUUGCUCCACGAAACCAUUUCUAAGAAUUGCCAUCUCCGGGCGAGAUUUUCACUUUUUUUUGAGUAUUCAAACGCCUCCCGCAUAAAGCGCAUUCUUUCUUUAGGUUGGUUUUCUGAACGUCGGAAACGAUAAAUCGACUUGACCAGGUUGAGCUGGAUCUCGCGAUAACAUGUGGGUUUGCGCCCUGAUUGUUCAAUGGCCAUUAUACUAGAGUUGGCCUGCUUCAGACGGCUGUCGUCAACAUGUUCAGCGACCAACUCGCCAGAAAGGUUACAGCCCAGAUAAAACGUCGCAAGGGUGAUAUGGGCCUUGUAUUCCAGGUCUGCGCAUACCUCGGGACAAUCCAACAUAACUUGUUGGAGGUGUUGCAGAGCGCUACGUGAGAGCACAUCUGGAGGACGCAAAAAUGUAUCAUCAAAACAGUCCGUCAUUGUUCCUGCACCUAAGUGUACUAGCGCUGUAACUAAACCUGGUGAAAGCCAUUGUGCCUUUGCCAAAGCACCGACAAACAAAAUGCGGAUACUGUUAAGAUCUCCUUUAGGCCGCGUAACCGCAACACGUGCACAUAGCUCUAGCACUUCAAACAUAUGAUGUUCUGUAGCAUUUGAUAGGAGUUUGUCGUACUCGUCCAGCAAUGUAUCUGCUGUCUUAAAAUUAUGUCUUCGGGAACGCAAAAUUAUUUUUUUCAACAACACCACCAAUUUGAGCUCGACAAUAUCUGGAAAUCCUUCUUCUAUUUUCUUGGAAUUUUUUUCGAAUCCUCUGAAAUCCCCAUUAUUUAAAGAAAACGUUAGAAUACAAAAUGCUUUCAUACAAAGAUUUCGAAUCUUUUUUGAAAUCCAUGUAAUGCUGCUACCAAUUGCAUGGGGGACCGACUCAACCUCGACUGGUCCCAAAAUUCUCUUCUUCCAAGCAGUAAACGACAUCUUCUCAACUGUCCCCUCCACCAUUUCAUAACAUUCUGGUUCCUCGGUGAACACACCACCCAGACAAGGAGCGAUAUAGAUCACGAUCACAAAGGUUGAUGGGAUAGGUUUGGAGUUUUUAUCUAACACUGGCUCGAAGAAAAUAUCCCAGUGUUUCCCUCGUUUUGGUUCACCAAUCUGUUCAGGCCAGAUCAUUUUGUUGAUGACUUUCUCAACUUUCUUUGGUAUUUCAAUGAUGUCUUCCACAUUUAGAAUCAAUUCGCCUUCAACAAAUGUACAAUCUGUGAUACCAUAGUACAUGUGACCUCCGGAAUGGUUGGCAAACGCGGAAACAUAGUGACUGAAUUUAUUACCUUUACCAGUCAUGCGAUCUGCUAAUCUAGUACGCUUUGAUGGACAUGCUUUUAGAUGCUUUAACAUCACCGUUUUGCUUUCUUGAAAACCACACUUUUCAUAUAAAAAAAAUGUUUUCUCAUGUGAGCGAAUUUGGACUGGUUCCAGAAUGACUUUUCUGUUGAUGAAAUCGUUCUUGACGUUUUCUAGUAGUUCCAGAGGAGACACUAGUAAAACUUGGGUUUCACUUGGUAAAUAAAGGUUAUAAUUAGUUGUUAUUAAAAAAUCACCUUUUCCCACUACAAUUACUGUGCUGUCUUUAUCUUCUUCGAAAUUUAUUUUCGAGACAGUCUGGUGUGUUCCAAUGAUAGACACCAUAGAUUGUUCUAGUAUUCGAAUCGCCAGUGACAUCUGGGAGGAUAGUAAUUUGCACUCGUUAAACAACACGACUUUUCCACCAUUGCUGUUUAGCAUGGCACAUAUAGCAGCUACUAUUUCUUUUAAAUUUUUUUCCUUGUACCUUUUAUUAGUCGAGGACGAGGUGUUUACAUAUUUAUAUAUGUCUAUAGCAUGAGCAGUCUCAUCAAAACUACCAGCCAUUGUGUGUAUGUUUCUUGACCAAAUAAACUACGAUUUUCAACGAUACAUUUCUCAAAAUAUUGAAGCUUUUAAUCCCUGUGGUAUAGAAGAGAAAUAAUAACUGUUAAAAUUUGAUUAGGUAGUUGUAUUUUGAAGUCAUGGGGUGCAUGAUGAGUAAGCAUAAUAGAUAUAUGCUAAUAUGAUAUUUGAACUAUUUAUAGGAUGGUUUAUAUAGUAAUAGGUAUUUGAUAUAUAGGUAUACUGGU